rnacentral:rRNA from 1 species
CCUACGGGAGGCUGCAGUGGGGAAUAUUGCACAAUGGGCGCAAGCCUGAUGCAGCCAUGCCGCGUGUGUGAAGAAGGCCUUCGGGUUGUAAAGCACUUUCAGCGGGGAGGAAGGCGGUGAGGUUAAUAACCUCAUCGAUUGACGUUACCCGCAGAAGAAGCACCGGCUAACUCCGUGCCAGCAGCCGCGGUAAUACGGAGGGUGCAAGCGUUAAUCGGAAUUACUGGGCGUAAAGCGCACGCAGGCGGUCUGUCAAGUCGGAUGUGAAAUCCCCGGGCUCAACCUGGGAACUGCAUUCGAAACUGGCAGGCUAGAGUCUUGCAGAGGGGGGUAGAAUUCCAGGUGUAGCGGUGAAAUGCGUAGAGAUCUGGGGGAAUACCGGUGGCGAAGGCGGCCCCCUGGACAAAGACUGACGCUCAGGUGCGAAAGCGUGGGGAGCAAACAGGAUUAGAUACCCUAGUAGUC